rnacentral:rRNA from 1 species
UUCUAUGGCCAUAUCACCCUGAGUGUGCCUGAUCUCAGAAGCUAAUCAGGGUCGGGACUGGUUAGUACUUGGAUGGGAGUAACUAUGAAAGAGAUGGGAAAACACAAGAAGGCAUGAUCU